CACACACACACACACACACACACACACACACACACACACACACACAGUGGGGGAGGAUAUACCAUAUUCCACUAUAGCAUUAAGGCUGGAUGAAGACAUGACAAGUCCCCAAAACUAGAGCUGUGGGUGAUAAGUUAAAGUGGUAAAGAAAUAGGUUGAGUCUCUACAGUUCAGCUAUGAGGGAACCGUAGGCACUUGCUUGGAGGAAAACCUGCUAACAUCCGGACAGUUGCACCCUCAUCCAGAAAGGACAACAACAGCGAAAAGCCUUGACAAGGAAUUAUGAACUUGGAACUCUUCCCAUCAACUGAGCUGGCUCGGCUUCUUGCAACAUCUCUGCCCCAAAGGGGCGACAGUGAGGAAAGAGGAAUUGCUUCCAUCCAAAGCUCUGCUUCUUAGUCCCACUGGAGUCAUCACAGCUCCUGCUUCUCUCCCUUCCCGCCUCUGUUCAUGCACGUCCACUUCUUGUAGUCUGGAAGUGACAAGUGAUGAAUCAAGGCGUCUCCAGUAUCCAGCCUGCACUGGGAAAUGGCAAAAAUGUGACUCAACCUCACAUCUUCUGAGAACUGUGUGCGCGAUGCCCCCAGUCAGAGGGGCGCUGGAGGACUAAAUGAAAUCAUCGCCUUUUCCCGUUUCCCAGACUCCCCAGCUGCGGAGGGGACAACUCUGACAUUUGGCACAGAGGAAGUGAGGAUAAAAAUAAUGCCCCUCAUAAAGAAAGCUAGGCAGGAGCUUCACAGAGUUCAAAGUCCCCCUGACUAAAGACCAGAAUUUACUGGAUUACUUGUGUUAGGAAUAUGCUCGUACCGCAGCGCAUGCUGGAAGGAGAGAACCAACUUCUGAAAGAUGUCCUCUGAUCUCCACAAAACAUGUGGGUCCCAGGGAUCGAACUUAGAAAGAAGCAUCACCACCUCGUCACGCUUGAAAACCUCAGAGUCACCCAUGGAAAGUGUGUUUCCUUACACACCCACUCCCGACCGAGCAGUGAGAGGCUCCAAGCAUCUCCUCUAG
rnacentral:lncRNA from 1 species